UGGCUCAGUUGGUAGAGCAUGGUGUUUGCAGUAGUGAAUGCAUACAUUUCAUUGGUGUGUGCAACGCCAGGGUUGUGGGUUCGAUUCCCAC
rnacentral:tRNA from 1 species